UUACACAUGCAGUCGAGGGGCAGCAUGAACUUAGCUUGCUAAGUUUGAUGGCGACCGGCGCACGGGUGAGUAACACGUAUCCAACCUGCCGAUGACUCGGGGAUAGCCUUUCGAAAGAAAGAUUAAUACCCGAUGGCAUAGUUCUUCCGCAUGGUGGAACUAUUAAAGAAUUUCGGUCAUCGAUGGGGAUGCGUUCCAUUAGGUUGUUGGCGGGGUAACGGCCCACCAAGCCUUCGAUGGAUAGGGGUUCUGAGAGGAAGGUCCCCCACAUUGGAACUGAGACACGGUCCAAACUCCUACGGGAGGCAGCAGUGAGGAAUAUUGGUCAAUGGACGAGAGUCUGAACCAGCCAAGUAGCGUGAAGGAUGACUGCCCUAUGGGUUGUAAACUUCUUUUAUACGGGAAUAAAGUGAGGCACGUGUGCCUUUUUGUAUGUACCGUAUGAAUAAGGAUCGGCUAACUCCGUGCCAGCAGCCGCGGUAAUACGGAGGAUCCGAGCGUUAUCCGGAUUUAUUGGGUUUAAAGGGAGCGUAGGCGGACGCUUAAGUCAGUUGUGAAAGUUUGCGGCUCAACCGUAAAAUUGCAGUUGAUACUGGGUGUCUUGAGUACAGUAGAGGCAGGCGGAAUUCGUGGUGUAGCGGUGAAAUGCUUAGAUAUCACGAAGAACUCCGAUUGCGAAGGCAGCUUGCUGGACUGUAACUGACGCUGAUGCUCGAAAGUGUGGGUAUCAAACAGGAUUAGAUACCCUGGUAGUCCACACAGUAAACGAUGAAUACUCGCUGUUUGCGAUAUACAGUAAGCGGCCAAGCGAAAGCGUUAAGUAUUCCACCUGGGGAGUACGCCGGCAACGGUGAAACUCAAAGGAAUUGACGGGGGCCCGCA
rnacentral:rRNA from 1 species